GUUGUCGUCGCGGCGGGUGGCGGCCUAAUUAUAUGUGUUUCUCCGUAUUUCUGGAAGCGGUCCGCGGAUGGGGCGCGAUGCGAUCCGCUCCGCGGUACAGCGGGGACUUGUUUCUCAACUUCAGUCGUGCGUGGUCCACCUCGAAUCGCGCGCAUAUUUCGCAGUUGUUCCACAAGUGUACAAGGUGACUCUCAGUCCGACGCCCUGAGUACCGGUAUCGUCGAAGAUCACUCUCGCCCGCGUAGUCUCGCAGCAUCCAUUCGCCCAUGAGGCGGGCGCGCGGAUAUCGAAAGAGCGAGAUGGCUCGAAUCGAUCUUCGGCUCGAUUAAAUAAUCUCACUAAUCUUUUCUGACGUAACGAAGAGACAUUGUCGAAAGGGUUUUUUAAAAAGUGCCUACGGUGUGAAGAAUUUAAAUAGAGUGUAAACGUUAUAAAUUUAAUUGUACGAAGGGAAAUAUAACGACGAAAAGCAUGGCGACUACAGAGAUCUUUCAGGACUGGGAUUCUCCCUACGAGAAUCUCAGCGCAUUGAGGACCUCUACCAGAAAAACCACAACAAAAACU